CGCUGAAGCACACUUCGGGUGUGGAUGAGUGGCGAACGGGUGAGUAACACGUGGGUAACCUGCCCUGUACUUUGGGAUAAGCCCUGGAAACGGGGUCUAAUACCGAAUAUGACCUUGCACCGCAUGGUGUGGGGUGGAAAGUUUCGGCGGUACAGGAUGGGCCCGCGGCCUAUCAGCUUGUUGGUGGGGUAGUGGCCUACCAAGGCGACGACGGGUAGCCGGCCUGAGAGGGUGACCGGCCACACUGGGACUGAGACACGGCCCAGACUCCUACGGGAGGCAGCAGUGGGGAAUAUUGCACAAUGGGCGGAAGCCUGAUGCAGCGACGCCGCGUGAGGGAUGACGGCCUUCGGGUUGUAAACCUCUUUCGCCAGGGACGAAGCGCAAGUGACGGUACCUGGAGAAGAAGCACCGGCUAACUACGUGCCAGCAGCCGCGGUAAUACGUAGGGUGCAAGCGUUGUCCGGAAUUAUUGGGCGUAAAGAGCUCGUAGGCGGCUUGUCGCGUCUGCUGUGAAAAUCCGGGGCUUAACUCCGGACCUGCAGUGGAUACGGGCAGGCUUGAGUUCGGUAGGGGAGACUGGAAUUCCUGGUGUAGCGGUGAAAUGCGCAGAUAUCAGGAGGAACACCGGUGGCGAAGGCGGGUCUCUGGGCCGAUACUGACGCUGAGGAGCGAAAGCGUGGGGAGCGAACAGGAUUAGAUACCCUGGUAGUCCACGCUGUAAACGUUGGGCGCUAGGUGUGGGCGACUUCCACGUUGUCCGUGCCGUAGCUAACGCAUUAAGCGCCCCGCCUGGGGAGUACGGCCGC
rnacentral:rRNA from 1 species